CGCUCAUUUUCUCCCCCUUCUCCUUCAUUUUCCUCUCAGUCUCCCUCGUUCUCCCUUCAUACACCUUCAAUUUCCCGCAAUGUCCCCCAUUUUCCCCACAGUUUCUCUCAUUUUCCCUCAUCAGCCCUCAUUUUCUCCCCUUUCUCCUUCAUUUUCCUUUCAGUCUCCCUCAUUCUCCCCUCACACACCUUCAGUUUCCCUCAGGGUCCACCAUUUCCCCUCAAUGUCCCCCAUUUUCCCUUAGCGUCCCCCUUUUUCCCUCAGCGUCCCUCAUUUCCCCUCAAUAGCACUCAUUUUCUCCCCUUUCUCCUUCAUUUUCCUCUCAGUCUCCCUUGUUCUCCCUUCAUACACCUUCAAUUUCCUGCAGUGUCCCCCAUUUUCCCCACAGUUUCUCUCAUUUUCCCUCAUCAGCCCUCAUUUUCUCCCCUUUCUCCUUCAUUUUCCUCUCGGUCUCCCUCAUUCUUCCCUCACGCACCUUCAGUUUCCCCCACUCUCCCCCAUUUUCCUUCUGUGUCCCCCAUUUUCCCUCACUUUUUUCUCAUUUUCCCUCAGCGUCCCCCAUUUUCCCUCAAUAGCACUCAUUUUCUCCCCUUUCCCCUUCAUUUUCCUCUCGGUCUCCCUCGCUCCCCCCUCGCACGCCUUCAUUUUCCCUCAGUGUCCCCCGUUCCCCUCGGCCGCUCCCCCCGCCCCAUCUCCCUCUCUUCCCCCCUUUGUCCCUCCUCCUUCCCCCACACACCUUCAUUUCCCCUCCUCCCCCGGCUCCCCCCAUUUCUCCCGCUUUCCCCCCGGCCUCCCUCGUCCCCCGGCGGCCGGCCCCGCGGGUCGCCCUGCCCGGGGCUCGCCGCGGUAGAGACCGGGGGGAAGCGAGGGGUGCUCGCCGCGGAGCGCCUCGGCGGCGAACGAUAUCUCGGGUUUGGCCCGGAGCGAGCGGAUUUGCAAUGCAAAUGCUCCGAGGGAUUCCUUCAGAGAGGCAGCGGUUAUCGGCCGCGGGCUCAGCUGGGUGACGAGCCCGGAGGUCACCGUCGUGGCUGA
rnacentral:lncRNA from 1 species